CCUUUCUUCUUGCUUAUCUCUUUGGACUUGAGGUCACCGACAACCAGAGGAAGAAACCCUGGGGUGCCUGCAUGCAAAUCCCUCUGUUCAGCUCAUUGCUUCAGUGAUAGAUGGAUCCUGGAUGGUGCACAUACCCAUUUUGUACGCUUGUCACAGGACAAGGGAGAGAAGCUUGCGCCUCCUACUCCCCAUUUUACCUGGGGUGGGACCGGUGUGCUUUCUAAAGGAGAAGCAACCUGCAGUUCUGCUGUGGACAUGAGAAGGGUGAUGAAGAAGGGAAAAUUAGGGGAAAACAGCUUUCCUUCAGCAGCAUCUCCCUUGCAAAUGCUCCUCGCCCCACAUCCAGAAGUUUGCCAGAGCUGGAUAAAGCUGAUUUCCUCCCCUGGCGGCAGCAGCGGAUGCAGAGAACAAUAGGUACGGUGCCUGCUCAGGGGACAACUCCUGCUCCCCUGUGCCGUGCCCAGCCCUCAGCUGGG
ensembl:lncRNA